GGGCCAUUAGCUCAGUGGUUAGAGCCCCCGGCUCAUAACCGGUUGGUCCUUGGUUCGAACCCAAGAUGGCCCACCA
rnacentral:tRNA from 1 species